UUCCUCACCAUUCCUCUACGGCUACAAGUUUGAGGAAUUUGUUUGCUCCUCCUCUCCUUGUAUUUAUCACUCAAUACCUUAAAGUCUGAACUGGUUUUGCACUUGACAAAUUUUCGCCACUCCACUGGAUUAACAUUCUUUGGUCUCAGAUUCAUCCUCUCUUGGUUAGUAGAUUUGCCCCUUAUCUGCGUGACAAGUCUUGAUUUUGACGCCCUCCAUAAACAUCCCAUUUGCUUCAACACAGCAUUCUUCUGAUAGUCUUCAUCAAGCUCAA
rnacentral:lncRNA from 1 species